rnacentral:rRNA from 1 species
UACGAAGGGGGCUAGCGUUGUUCGGAUUUACUGGGCGUGAAAGGGCGCGUAGGCGGAUUUUUAAGUCAGGGGUGAAAUCCCAAGGCUCAAACCUUGGAACGUGCCUUUGAUACUGGGGAUCUUGAGUCCGGGAGAGGUGAGUGGAACUGCGAGUGUAGAGGUGAAAUUCGUAGAUAUUCGCAAGAACACCAGUGGCGAAGGCGGCUCACUGGCCCGGAACUGACGCUGAGGCGCGAAAGCGAUGGGGAGCAAACGGGAUUAAGAU